rnacentral:rRNA from 1 species
AAAGAUUAAGCCAUGCAGGCCUCAGUGCAAGCCGAAUUAAGGUGAAACCGCGAAAAGCUCAUUAAAUCAGCUAUGGUUCCUUAGAUGGUACUUACAGUUACUUGGAUAACUGUGGCAAUUCUAGAGCUAAUACAUGCAAAUUGAGUUCCGACCGCUUAGCAGGCGGAAGGAAUGCUUUUAUUAGAUCAAAACCAAUCGGACUCACUGAAUGGGUCGUUAAGCCUUGGUGACUCUGAAUAACUUUGUGCUGAUCGCACGGUCCCGCACCGGCGACGCAUCUUUCAAAUGUCUGACUUAUCACUUUCGAUGGUAAGCUCUGCGCCUACCAUGGUCGUAACGGGUAACGGGGAAUCAGGGUUCGAUUCCGGAGAGGGAGCCUGAGAAACGGCUACCACAUCCAAGGAAGGCAGCAGGCGCGCAAAUUACCCACUCCCGGCACGGGGAGGUAGUGACGAAAAAUAACGAUGCAGAACUCUUUCCGAGGCUCUGCAAUCGGAAUGAGAACACUCUAAAUCAUUUAACGAGUAUCCAUUGGAGGAUUCCGACGUUAGAGGUGAAAUUCUUGGAUCGUCGGAAGACUGACCUAAGCGAAAGCAUUUGCCAAGGAUGCUUCCUUUAAUCAAGAACGAAAGUUAGAGGUUCGAAGGCGAUCAGAUACCGCCCUAGUUCUAACCGUAAACGAUGCCAGCUAGCGAUCCGUCGAAGUUCUAACGAUGACUCGACGGGCAGCUCCCGGGAAACCAAAGCUUUUGGGUUCCGGGGGAAGUAUGGUUGCAAAGCUGAAACUUAAAGGAAUUGACGGAAGGGCACCACCAGGAGUGGAGCUUGCGGCUUAAUUUGACUCAACACGGGAAACCUCACCAGGCCCGGACACUGGAAGGAUUGACAGAUUGAGAGCUCUUUCUUGAUUCAGUGGGUGGUGGUGCAUGGCCGUUCUUAGUUGGUGGAGCGAUUUGUCUGGUUAAUUCCGAUAACGAACGAGACUCUAGCCUGUUAACUAGGCGAACACAAUUCCGGCAUCGCUAAUCUCCUACGGGGGAACAAAAAGCUGCCGGCGGCAUAACUUCUUAGAGGGACAGGCGGCUUCUAGCCGCACGAGAUUGAGCAAUAACAGGUCUGUGAUGCCCUUAGAUGUUCUGGGCCGCACGCGUGCUACACUGAAGGAAUCAACGUGUUUACACGUCCCGGGCCGAAAGGUCCGGGAAACCCGUUGAACCUCCUUCGUGCUAGGAAUUGGGACUUGCAAUUGUUUCCCAUGAACGAGGAAUUCCCAGUAAGCGCGAGUCAUAAGCUCGCGUUGAUUACGUCCCUGCCCUUUGUACACACCGCCCGUCGCUACUACCGAUUGAACGAUUUAGUGAGGUCUUCGGACCUGUGCGCGGGAGUCGCUUCUCGGCUACUUCCGCUGCCGCGGGA